GUCUAUGGCCAUGCUACCCUGAACAAGUGUGAUCCUGUGUGAUCUCGGAAGCUAAGCAGGGUCGGGUCUUAUAAGUACUUGGAUGGGAGACCACCUAGGAGACCAAGUGCUGUAGGCA
rnacentral:rRNA from 1 species